rnacentral:rRNA from 1 species
GAAGGGUGCAAGCGUUAAUCGGAAUUACUGGGCGUAAAGCGUGCGUAGGUGGUUUCUUAAGUCUGCUGUGAAAGCCCUGGGCUCAACCUGGGAAUGGCGGUGGAUACUGAGGAGCUAGAGUGCGGUAGAGGAGGGUGGAAUUCCCGGUGUAGCGGUGAAAUGCGUAGAGAUCGGGAGGAACAUCAGUGGCGAAGGCGGCCCUCUGGACCAGCACUGACGCUGAGGCACGAAAGCGUGGGGAGCAAACAGGAUUAGAUACCCUGGUAGUCCACGCCCUAAACGAUGCGGACUGGACGUUGGGCACAAUUCGGUGCUCAGUGUCGAAGCUAACGCGUUAAGUCCGCCGCCUGGGGAGUACGCUCGCAAGAGUGAA